GAUUGAACGCUGGCGGUAUGCUUAACACAUGCAAGUCGAACGGAAACGAUACUAGCUUGCUAGUAGGCGUCGAGUGGCGGACGGGUGAGUAACGCGUAGGAAUCUGCCUGAUAGUGGGGGAUAGCCCGAAGAAAUUCGGAUUAAUACCGCAUAAUCUAUUCGUAGUAAAGUGGGGGACUUUCGAGCCUCACGCUAUCAGAUGAGCCUGCGUAAGAUUAGCUAGUUGGUAGGGUAAAAGCCUACCAAGGCAACGAUCUUUAGCUGGUCUGAGAGGAUGAUCAGCCACAUCGGGACUGAGACACGGCCCGAACUCCUACGGGAGGCAGCAGUGGGGAAUAUUGGACAAUGGGGGCAACCCUGAUCCAGCAAUACCGCGUGUGUGAAGAAGGCCUGAGGGUUGUAAAGCACUUUCAAUUGUGAAGAAAAGUUAACGGUUAAUAACCGUUAGCCUUGACGUUAACUUUAGAAGAAGCACCGGCUAACUCCGUGCCAGCAGCCGCGGUAAUACGGAGGGUGCAAGCGUUAAUCGGAAUUACUGGGCGUAAAGCGUGCGUAGGCGGUUUAUUAAGUCAGAUGUGAAAGCCCCGGGCUUAACCUGGGAACUGCAUUUGAAACUGGUCAACUAGAGUAUGGUAGAGGAAAGUGGAAUUUCUGGUGUAGCGGUGAAAUGCGUAGAUAUCAGAAGGAACAUCAAUGGCGAAGGCAGCUUUCUGGACCAAUACUGACGCUGAGGUACGAAAGCGUGGGUAGCAAACAGGAUUAGAUACCCUGGUAGUCCACGCCGUAAACGAUGAUAACUAGCCGUUGGGGGGAUUUACCCUUUAGUGGCGAAGCUAACGCGUUAAGUUAUCCGCCUGGGGAGUACGGCCGCAAGGUUAAAACUCAAAGGAAUUGACGGGGACCCGCACAAGCGGUGGAGCAUGUGGUUUAAUUCGAUGCAACGCGAAGAACCUUACCUGGUCUUGACAUCCUGCGAACUUUCUAGAAAUAGAUUGGUGCCUUCGGGAACGCAGUGACAGGUGCUGCAUGGCUGUCGUCAGCUCGUGUCGUGAGAUGUUGGGUUAAGUCCCGUAACGAGCGCAACCCCUAUCCUUAUUUGCCAGCACGUCAUGGUGGGAACUAUAAGGAGACUGCCGGUGAUAAACCGGAGGAAGGCGGGGACGACGUCAAGUCAUCAUGGCCCUUACGACCGGGGCUACACACGUGCUACAAUGGGAAGGACAAAGAGCCGCGAAGCCGCGAGGUGUAGCUAAUCUCAGAAACCUUUUCGUAGUCCGGAUUGGAGUCUGCAACUCGACUCCAUGAAGUCGGAAUCGCUAGUAAUCGUAGAUCAGAAUGCUACGGUGAAUACGUUCCCGGGUCUUGUACUCACCGC
rnacentral:rRNA from 1 species